ensembl:lncRNA novel transcript
CUUUGGCCUCGGACUCAGAGUUACACAAUCCGCUCCCCUGGUUCUGAGGCCUUUGGACUUGGAAUGAGCCCCGCACCAGCUUCUCUAGGUUUCCAGCUUGCAGACAGCCUGUCAUGAGACUUCUCAGCCUGCAUAAUCAUAAAUGGUGCUCAGUCGCAGAUGGAACAAUGGUGAGAGCACACCUGAACAAAGGAAAAGCAGAUGUAUUUAUCCCUUACGCAUUUGGGUUGUCCUUACUGCUAUGUCCUGCAUCCAUUGGCUGGAGUGGGACCUCACAAUCUUAAAGUGAUACCCGAUUUGCUAAUAACCUGAAACUUUCCUAAAUAGGUAAGUGCAGGGAAGAACAAAUAAGUUGCUUAUGAAAAGUCUCAGGAGGCAAUAACAUCACCAAAUAAGGAAGGGGCAUAGGCUGUGAGCUGGAAUAUGUUGGUGAGGAUGUCCAACAGUUACAUAGGAUAGAGCUUAACAAAGAGUUAUUAGCACAAAGCAAGGAGGCUUGAAGAAAGUUAGUCUUUAAAAGAAACUGUUGAGGGUCUGAGGCAGCUAGUAGCCGGAGGGUCACCAUGAAGUUCAAUCCCUUCGUUACCUCGGACCGCAGUAAAAACCGCAAACGUUACUUCAAUGCCCCCUCACACGUGCGCAGGAAGAUCAUGUCAUCCCCGCUCUCCAAGGAGCUGCGGCAGAAGUACAAUGUCCGCUCCAUGCCCAUCCGCAAGGACGACGAGGUCCAGGUAGUUCGAGGACACUACAAAGGUCAGCAAAUUGGCAAGGUAAUCCAGGUGUACAGAAAGAAAUAUGUCAUCUACAUCGAGCGGGUGCAGCGUGAGAAGGCCAACGGCACGACUGUCCACGUGGGCAUUCACCCAAGCAAGGUGGUUAUCACCAGGCUAAAACUGGACAAGGAUCGGAAAAAAAUUCUUGAACGCAAAGCCAAGUCUCAACAAGUUGGAAAAGAGAAAGGCAAAUAUAAAGAAGAACUUAUUGAGAAAAUGCAGGAAUAAAUAGAACCUGUUGUGCAACCACGGUUUAACCGGAGAUUUUGAGGCUAGGGUGUGUUUCUUUCGAACUUUUCGGAAUGUCUGGAACAUUUCAUUUCCUGUUUUGUUACCUGUGGCUCUGUAAAUCUACUUUUGCAAUUUUAAGUAAUAAUUUUAUGAAUAAAAAUGGGAAAUGCUUCC